GUCCACGCCGUAAACGUUGCAUACUCGAUCUUAGCGAUACACAGUUAGGAUCCAAGCGAAAGCGUUAAGUAUGCCACCUGGGAAGUACGUUCGCAAGAAUGAAACUCAAAGGAAUUGACGGGGGCCCGCACAAGCGGAGGAGCAUGUGGUUUAAUUCGAUGAUACGCGAGGAACCUUACCUGGGCUUGAAUGUGAGUGACCGAUGCCGAAAGGUAUCUUCCCUUCGGGGCACAAAACAAGGUGCUGCAUGGCUGUCGU
rnacentral:rRNA from 1 species